rnacentral:rRNA from 1 species
CACUCCUACGGGAGGCAGCAGUGGGGAAUAUUGGACCAUGGGCGCAAGCCUGAUCCAGCCAUGCCGCGUGAGUGAUGAAGGCCCUAGGGUUGUAAAGCUCUUUCACCGGUGAAGAUAAUGACGGUAACCGGAGAAGAAGCCCCGGCUAACUUCGUGCCAGCAGCCGCGGUAAUACGAAGGGGGCUAGCGUUGUUCGGAUUUACUGGGCGUAAAGCGCACGUAGGCGGACUAUUAAGUCAGGGGUGAAAUCCCGGGGCUCAACCCCGGAACUGCCUUUGAUACUGGUAGUCUUGAGUUCGAGAGAGGUGAGUGGAAUUCCGAGUGUAGAGGUGAAAUUCGUAGAUAUUCGGAGGAACACCAGUGGCGAAGGCGGCUCACUGGCUCGAUACUGACGCUGAGGUGCGAAAGCGUGGGGAGCAAACAGGAUUAGAAACCCGGGUAGUCCCAUGAU